GGGUAAUUUAUGCGGUUACUGGCGCGCGGCCUGGGUUUCCCCGUUUCAAGAAGCCACUUGGCGUCUGUCGUCGGCCCUGCCGAUCCCACCGUCCGCUGCCUAUCGGCGGCGACCUCUGCGCCCAGAUGGAGGAGGCGGCACACGAUACCCGUAGGUCCGAAUUCUCUUCGCUCCUAUCAUCUCCUCUACAAACGUCGACGGACGCUGCGCCCUUGCCCUAGCCCUAGCUCACUGGUUGCCAUUUGAUUUUUAGAGAGAUUGGAUUCUUAUCACCAGAUGUAUACCUAAACUAAAGACCAACCAUGUUAAAUAUCCACAAGGGUGGGAGCUUACUGAGCCCACUCUUUGAGAACUUGAGGCAAAGAUGAGAAAAGGUUAUUUGUCCUCAUUGUUUUGGUUACUCUUUUUUUACCUUCUAUAUGUGCUGAAUGUACAUUUAAGAUUCAAUUUUGUCUUAUUUAUGAAAUCCACAUGCAUUUGUACCUGAAAAUGAUCCUCAAGAUGGGAACAGAAAGUGUAAAAGCACCUUCGCCUAUUUUUUGUUUGGCUCAUCCAAAGAAAAUCAUGUAUACAUCCUUUAUCAUCAGAGGAAGGAAAUUUCCAAGGAAUUGCAUCAAUUCUGUCUGGAUCAGGGCCAUGCAGACCAUAAUCUGAUUGUAAAGGGGGAAAAGCCAGGUAAUGAACACCUUGCUGGCUGACGUGCAUGCAGACAUGAGUUCACAAUUUUGCAACCACUUGCGUAUGGGGUCCCUAAACACCUGAGGAAAGAAAAGGUGAUAGAAAUGUCCACUGUGGUUGCAGGGGCUGUCCAAGUGAAGAUUAAGUCCUUUGUGAAAUACACAAAUAAUUCAAGAUGUGCUGACAUACUUUGAUCCAAAUUUCUUGCAAGCUUUAGCCUUUAGACAAGAGCCAGUCCCUUGCAACUUGGUAGCAAAUUUGAUGGGGCUUACAUCAUUGGCCAUGUGCUAGGUUCACCUUGACUGUCAUCACUGCUAGCCUUUGAUGGUUCAUUCGCGUCAGCAUUUCGAUGACUUGGAUUUAUGAAUCUGUUGGCUCUCAUCACACCUCAACUACCGAGUUGCUGCAAAUUCCAGUAUGAUGGUGGUACUCUAGAGCAGACCUGUACUUGGAUGAUAUCUGGUGUUGUGGUAUCACAGCCUAAAGGUGAAGCAUUUCUUGGAAGACUACCUUGGUUUUUAGCAUAGCAUCCUUGGUUAUGUGGCUCUGGCUCACUUGGGUUUGUCCUUGCUUCUUCUUUGCUAUUGGUCUAUUCUAUCAAAUACCUCAACUUGCGAAAACCACAGAUCCUUUCUUCCUUUCUGGAUUUCCAAUUGGCUGUACUACGACAUGAUAUGAUGGACACCAUGUGACAUUUUAGCUUCCUAUCUGAGGGCUUGGUUGAAGCAACAAAUGAUUACCCGUGAGGGGCAAGGUAGGGUCUUGAAUUUGAUUGCCCUUGUGCCCCUGCAGGUUCAGGCUUGCUCAUCAAGGAAACUGGAAAUGUCCCUCUUAUGUUUGGGAACUGGCUGUGGUAGAGCUAUCAAUCCUUCUCCCUGAAGCAGCUAAUCAAGUACACUUUUCCUCCUUCCAAAUCUUUUGCAAAUUUUGUAAAGGGAAUUUUGCCAAUUCCUUGGCGUUUUAGGAACUCUUUUCAACAUAUUUUCUCUAUUCUUGUCGACAUUUGCUACAUCCCUAGGGCUGGUAAUUUUAUUAGCCGACCAUUGGAGGUCCCAAGGUUUUCAAUUUUUUUUUUAAUGUCAUUACUGAUUGCUCAGUUGACCUGUAAUAACUUUAUACAGGUUAAUUAUAAUCAUUUUUUUUAUAUCAUUGCUGAUUA